CUCUGUGACUCCUACGGGAGGCAGCAGUGGGGAAUAUUGCACAAUGGGCGCAAGCCUGAUGCAGCCAUGCCGCGUGUGUGAAGAAGGCCUUCGGGUUGUAAAGCACUUUCAGUUGUGAGGAAGGUGGUGUCGUUAAUAGCGGCAUCAUUUGACGUUAGCAACAGAAGAAGCACCGGCUAACUCCGUGCCAGCAGCCGCGGUAAUACGGAGGGUGCGAGCGUUAAUCGGAAUUACUGGGCGUAAAGCGCAUGCAGGUGGUUUGUUAAGUCAGAUGUGAAAGCCCCGGGGCUCAACCUCGGAACUGCAUUUGAAACUGGCAGACUAGAGUACUGUAGAGGGGGUAGAAUUUCAGGUGUAGCGGUGAAAUGCGUAGAGAUCUGAAGGAAUACCGGUGGCGAAGACGGCCCCCUGGACAGAUACUGACACUCAGAUGCGAAAGCGUGGGGAGCAAACAGGAUUAGAUACCCUGGUAG
rnacentral:rRNA from 1 species